rnacentral:rRNA from 1 species
AGCAGCCGCGGUAAUUCCAGCUCCAAUAGCGUAUAUUAAAGUUGUUGCAGUUAAAAAGCUCGUAGUUGAAUUUCGGGAUCAAUAUGUUGGUCGUGCCUCGGUACGUACUAGCAUAUUGGUUUCUCCUUUCUGAGAACCAUGAUGUCAUUUAUUUGGUGUCGUGGGGAAUCAGGACUGUUACUUUGAAAAAAUUAGAGUGUUUAAAGCAGGCUCACGCUUGAAUACAUUAGCAUGGAAUAAUGAAAUAGGACGUUUGAUUCUAUUUUGUUGGUUUCUAGGAUCGACGUAAUGAUUAAUAGGGAUAGUUGGGGGCAUUAGUAUUCAAUUGUCAGAGGUGAAAUUCUUGGAUUUAUUGAAGACUAACUACUGCGAAAGCAUUUGCCAAGGAUGUUUUCAUUAAUCAAGAACGAAAGUUAGGGGAUCGAAGACGAUCAGAUACCGUCGUAGUCUUAACCAUAAACUAUGCCGACUAGGGAUCGGAUGAUGUUAAUUUUUUUAAUGACUCAUUCGGCGCCUUACG